UACGUAGGGGGCAAGCGUUGUCCGGAAUCAUUGGGCGUAAAGAGCGUGUAGGCGGCCCGAUCAGUCUGGUGUGAAAUCUUGAGGCUCAACCUCAAGCUGUCAUCGGAUACUGUCGGGCUAGAGUCCGGAAGAGGAGAGUGGAAUUCCUGGUGUAGCGGUGGAAUGCGCAGAUAUCAGGAGGAAUAUCCGUAGCGAAGGCGGCUCUCUGGUACGGUACUGACGCUGAGACGCGAAAGCGUGGGGAGCGAACAGG
rnacentral:rRNA from 1 species